rnacentral:lncRNA from 1 species
CAAACAGUUUGGCGCUCCCACAGCGCCACCCAAAGGCCAAGGGGGGGAAUUGCAGCCCCGAGGAGGAGGCGCCGGGGGGGGGCGGUUGUGGGGGGGGUAACAGCGCCCCCUAACGGCGCCGAGCGGCGCUGCUUCAUCUCCUGCUGCUGCUCCUCUGCCUCGCUCUGUGCUGAGUCCCAAUGGGGGGGGGUUGGGGGUCGUCGUCGUAACCCCCCCCCCACUCUUUUCUUUUUGCUUUUUUUUUUUCUCUGUUACUUUUUUUGUCUUUUUUUCCCUCGUUUUUUUUCCUUUUUUCUUCAUUUUUUUUCCUUUUUUCUUCAUUUUUUUCCUUUUUUUCUUCAUUUUUUUCCUUUUUUUCUUCAUUUUUUUCCUUUUUUUUCCUUCUUUUUUUUCCUCUUUUUUUUCUCCUUUUUUUGCUGCUUUUUUUCCUCCUUUUUUCUCCCUUUUUCGCCUUUUCUUCUCCUUUUCUUCUCCUUUUCUUCCUCUUUAUCCUCCUUCUUUCUACUCUUUUUCUCCUUUUUUCUCCUUUUUUCUCCUUUUUUCUCCUUUUUUCCUGUUUUUUCUCCAAUUUUUCUCCUUUUUUCUCCUUUUUUUCCCCUUUUUUCCUCCUUUUUUCUCUCUUUUUCACCUUUUCUUCUCCUUUAUCCUUCUUUUUUUCCCCAUUUUUCCCCUUUUUCCUGUUUUUUCCCUCGAUUUUUUCCUGUAUUUCACCUUUUUUCUCCUUCUUUCCUCCUUUUUUCUCCUUUUUCUUCACCUUUUUUCCCCCUUUUUCCUGUUUUAUUUCUCGAUUUUUUCUCCCCUUUUCACCCUUUCCUUCCCUUUUUUCUCCUUUUUUCUCUCCUUUUCUCUCCUUUUUUUUCUCCCCUUUUUUCUCCUUUUUUCUCAUUUUUCUUCUUUUUCUCCUUUCUUUCACCUUUUCCCCCUCCUCUUUUCUUCCUUUUUUCUCCAUUUUCUCCUCUUUUUCUCCUUUCUUUUUCCUUUUUUCUCCUUUUUUAUCUUUUUCUUUUUUUUUCCCUUCACUUUGUCCCCUUUUCUCCUUUUUUCCUCCUUUUUUCCUCCUUUUUUCCUCCUUUUUUUCUCCCUUUUCUUCUCCUUUUUUCCUUUUUCUCAUUUUUCACCUUUUUUCUCCUUUUUUUCUCGUGUUCCUUCUCCAUUUUUUCCUUUUUCUCCUUUUUUCUCCUUUUUUUCUGCUUUUUUCUCCCUUUUUUCCUCAUUUUUCUCCUUUUUUCUCCCUUCUCUUCCUUUUGGCCUUUUUCCCCUUUUUUCCUCUUUUUUCCCACCUUUUUCCCCCUUUUUUUCCUCCGUUUCCUCCAUUUUUCUCCUUUUUCGCUCCUUUUUUCCUCCACUUUUUGUCCACUUUUCUCCAUUUUUCUCCUUUUUUUCAUUUUUUUCUCCUUUCUUUUCCUUUUCUCUCCAUUUUCCCCUUUCUUCUCCUCUUUUUCUCCUUUUUUUUCCUCCAUCUCUCCUUUUUUUCUCCUUUUCCUCUCCAUUUUUUCCUUUCUUUCUCCUUUUCUCCUUUUUCCCUUUUUUCUCCUCUUUUUCUCCUUUUCUCCUCCUUUUUUUUUCUUCUCCUCUUUUUCUCCCUUUUUUUUUUUUUUUUGGUAUUUCUUCCCUUUUUUUCUUUCCCUUUUUUUCUUCCCCUCCUCCUUUAAAAUCUCCCUUUUUUUUUUUCCUUUUUUUUGUCCUUUUUUUUCUUGUUUU